ACGAACGCUGGCGGCAUGCCUAACACAUGCAAGUCGAACGAGACCUUCGGGUCUAGUGGCGCACGGGUGCGUAACGCGUGGGAAUCUGCCCUUGGGUCCGGAAUAACUCAGAGAAAUUUGAGCUAAUACCGGAUGAUGACGUAAGUCCAAAGAUUUAUCGCCCAGGGAUGAGCCCGCGUAGGAUUAGCUAGUUGGUGAGGUAAAGGCUCACCAAGGCGACGAUCCUUAGCUGGCUGAGAGGAUGAUCAGCCACACUGGGACUGAGACACGGCCCAGACUCCUACGGGAGGCAGCAGUGGGAAUAUUGGACAAUGGGCGAAAGCCUGAUCCAGCAAUGCCGCGUGAGUGAUGAAGGCCUUAGGGUUGUAAAGCUCUUUUACCCGGGAUGAUAAUGACAGUACCGGGAGAAUAAGCCCC
rnacentral:rRNA from 1 species